AUGACAUGGCACCCCAAACCAUCACUGACUGUGGAAACUUUACACUGGACCUCAAGCAACGUGGAUUCUUCCAGUACCUGGUUUAAGGACCAUGGUAUCCCUGUUCUUAAUUGGCCAGCAAACUCGCCUGACCUUAACCCCAUAAAAAAUCUAUGGGGUAUUGUGAAGAGGAAGAUUCGAUAUGCCAGUCAAUGCAGAAGAGCUGAAGGCCACUAUGUACAUGCUCAUACUUUUCAUUUUUAUACUUUUUAGUUGGCCAAGAUUUCUAAAAAUCCUUUCUUUGUAUUGGUCUUAAGUUAUAUUCAAAUUUUCUAUUAUACUGAGAUACUGAAUUUGGGAUUUUCCUUAGUUGUCAGUUAUAAUCAUCAAAAUUAAAAUAAAUAAACAUUUGAAAUAUAUCAGUCUGUGUGUAAUGAAUGAAUAUAAUAUACAAGUUUCACUUUUUGAAUGGAAUUAAUGAAAUAAAUCAACUUUUUGAUGAUAUUCUAAUUAUAUGACCAGCACCGAUACAGUACAGACCAUAGGCGGAGUUUAGGGGGGGCUGGGGGGGGCACUGCCCCCCAGACGAGAGCCAAUAAUGAUUUUGUCUGAGCUAUGAAUAAAAUAUAAAAAUUAAAUAAUUAACAUUUUCUCAUUUUAUUUGUAUUAUUUUAUUAUUUUAGUGGUUAGAAUAAGUACGUUUUGGGUUAAAUUAAUUAUUUAAGUCCCAUAUCCUCCCGAGUCGCGGAUGGUUCUUAACUUAAGAGGACUCUCUUUUCGUUAUUUUCCAGCUUUAGCAAGUUAACAAAUAUUUGUUGUUUUCUUUAUAAACUCGCUAAUAAAAAUGUGGUGGAGUGAGUCAUUUCUGGCUGAAUUGGACAGGCGAUUUGAAGCGAUGGCCUUGAGUGUGGCGCGUGAUUCAGUAUUUAGUUAAAGCACAUACACAAGGCUUAUUAACCCUUGGCUAGUGACAGCUGAAGUGGAUCUUGUGAAAUGUGCGAUCGCAUCGUCGAUUACUCUUUAGAAACUUAAAGAUGACUGUGCAUAACAUGAGCGCUCAAACUGACCUGAGAUUUGCCCCGCAAACAUUUCAGCAGUUAUUAUAGGCCCGUGUGUCCCACAUUUCUGUCGACUGAACCAGCCAUGCCAUUAAUUAUGAAUUUAUCAGUCUUUUGCAUGCCAAAGUAAAUUUCUGCAUAUACAUAUUACGCCAAAUAGAAGCAGAAAACCGUACUAUAUUUCAUCAUGAGAUCGGGUUAGCCCGCAACAAUUAAUUUGUUGGCUAUUUUACAAAUGGGAAUACAAAUAAUUCAUGACAAUAUUUAAAAUUCAAGCUGCCCAUAAAAUUUAUAGUGAAAAGUACUUUAAAAGCAUCUGGAAUGCAAUAAAGUGUUUUUAAAGCUGUUUUUAAAGCAUUUGCUGAAUGGAUAAUAUUUUUUUAAAAAUAGGAUAAUAAUUCACAUAUCAGACAAAAUUGUGUUGCAGCAAGUCCUUUAAAUUUUAAGGUAUUCAGAACAGAGCAACAUAAAAAUCAGAAGAAAAAAAUAUUUUUUAUAAUUUUCUAUACAAUUACAGGACAAAGUUUUACAUAUGCCUUAUGUAUGUUUUAUUUAUUUAUUAAAUUUUAUUGUACAGAAUUAUAAAAUAAAACGCAAAUUAUAAUCGGGCCUGUUUUAGGCUUUUCCUUAUUUUUAGAUUUUAGACAUCCAUCAAUUAUGGUUAUGAAAAAAAUGACUCGCCAUCUCAUUGGAUGUGCCUUUGGAGAGAAAUGCACGGAUUACACAAUGAAAGAGUUUCUAUUUUCAAUUGGAAU
ensembl:lncRNA